CGUUAAAACCCGAGUUCCCGUACGAUAUCCGAAGUUAAGCAACGUUGAAACUAGUUAGCACCUAGAUGGGUUACCGCUUGGGAAUAUCAGGUGCU